UAGGGAAUCUUCCACAAUGGCAAAAGCCUGAUGGAGCAACGCCGCGUGUGUGAUGAAGGGUUUCGGCUCGUAAAACACUGUUGUAAGAGAAGAAUGACAUUGAGAGUAACUGUUCAAUGUGUGACGGUAUCUUACCAGAAAGGAACGGCUAAAUACGUGCCAG
rnacentral:rRNA from 1 species